rnacentral:lncRNA from 1 species
UUCUGCCCAUUCAUCUUGACAUCCUUUUAUAUGCGUCCUGAGAUACAUGCCUUUGAUUAAAUUUUAAUUAGAAUUUUGUGGGCUUCCUCAAAGAAGUCUGUUCUCCCUUAAUUGGUAAAAUUUUAGAUACUAUUUACAGUGGUUUUUGUCUGUAUUUACUAGCAUGUCCCUGAAGAGUCUCCGAAUUUUAGCCUAAAGAUAAAUUCUGCAAAAUAAAGGUACUGUAAAUAAGAUACUACAAGUAGGAAGGUAAGACCCAAGGUGACCAACGAUCAUAUCAAUCAGUCGACUGGAUGAGGACCCAUGACCCAAGAGGAAGGCAACUGCUGUACCUCGCA